rnacentral:lncRNA from 1 species
CUUUAUGAAAGUCUCUAUAAGAUGAUAAGAACUUGAAACAUAAAUGCAGUGUAAACAUUUAUGAAACUCUUUUGUUUAUUGUGCAUCAUUUCCUCACCACAAUAAUGCUGCUGUUCACUGUUGCAUAAUUUAUCUUAGUGCCACUUCAAUUGUGUUUGCAGUUUUCAUGGGAAAGCAUCCUAGUUGGGAUAAUUACUCACUUUGGAGACGAUCAGCAAUUUGGUUCAUAAGCACCUCUGAAAAUUACCCUAUCGGCAGAAGGCAUUUUCCUUCAAGGGCAACAUAUUGUGCUGCUAAGAAGGGCUAGUAAAUCUUUGUGGGAGAAAAGCUGCACAUGAUAGCACAGUUGUGAAAGCUGGAGACUACUGUGUGAAAGACAGGAAACUUACAGAUAUAUCCACUUCGAUUCUGAGUGUGAUAUCCCAAAAGAUCUAAGGUACCAAUCAAAUGUUGCCAAUGUGUUGUGGACAGCCUACAUGGUGUGCUCUGGUGACUGCUGCUGACAAAAAAUUAGGCAGAGCUCUCAGGACAAGGAAUCCUGUUUGGAAGAAGAGCAUCCUCGCCUUACGUCAAAGGAGCAAGAAACAGUCACUCAGAUCUGAUACUGAUGAAAUUCUUAUCAUAUUGAUAAUUUAAAAUAAACAAACUUGGUAUAGCA